rnacentral:rRNA from 1 species
UAAACGACUCUCGGCAACGGAUAUCUCGGCUCUCGCAUCGAUGAAGAACGUAGCGAAAUGCGAUACUUGGUGUGAAUUGCAGAAUCCCGUGAACCAUCGAGUCUUUGAACGCAAGUUGCGCCCGAAGCCACUAGGCUGAGGGCACGUCUGCCUGGGCGUCACGCAUCGCGUCGC